AGGCUGCAACCAUUUGUCCCUCAGAACAGAACAAUUAACUAGACAAAGGACUACAGAUCUAAUUUUCAUGAUAUCGAGGCUUUUACAGCCUGAAGGUUUGUGGCAACACGACCUGGAGCAAGUCGAUUGGCACCAUUUUUCCAACAGCAUUUGCUCACUUCCUGCCUCUGUGUCACAUUCUGUUUCUACUCUUCUUUUCCUGGACAGAAGAUAGAUUUGCACUUCCUGAAACUCUCAUGGUAGGUUGGGCUGUGA